UGACAGGUGUUGGUUCUUAACUACCCUACAAGUUCAGACCUACGCAAGAACCCCCAAAGUGCAGCCACACACUACUUGUAGCAGAAGCUGCUCCAACUGGGCUUGGUUUUUUAAGUUGCUCAGCAGCAAAUGCUAAUGCUCAUCUCUCAUCAAGGUCAACAGAGACGAGGAACAUGCAGCAUCGUUUAGAGGUACAAGUGAUUCUGAGAGUCCCACCUGGGGACCUGAGAGAAGCUUACAGGUACAGGGCUGAUGGCAAGGAACCAGCACUCAAGGGCAGUGAGCAAGCCCUCAGCAGAAGCCACAGCAAGCUGGCCACAGAGGGACCCUGGCUGGACAAUCCCUCAGGUCAAAGAAGACAUGCUUAAUUUUGCAGAUUCAUACAGGACAUUCCAUUUGGAUUAUCCAACACAAAAUUUACAUCAGUGACUUCAGCUCAAGUUACAGCCUGUCACCCUGAUGUGUGCUGCUGGUGGUACAGCAAAAGCUGAGUUAGGAUCCUGGCUUUGCAAUACAAGACAUAAAGAAAACAUAAAAAUACACUUCAGGACAUACCAAGAUCAGCAUGUUGAGUAGGAAACCUCUUCAGAUAGUCAGUUAUUGACAACAGAAAGUUGGACGUAAGUAUGUGCACAUUUGUCCCAUAUUUCUACCGCUAAUGCAGUGUAUUCUACAGGGUUUCCUAAAUGGAUUCUUACUCAAACUAGAGCAUAUCUUUCAGUACAACUACUCUCUGAUUUUAAAAUUUGUAGAAAUUCAGAACCUACUUAAUCUUCACUAUGUUAUUCUAGAGAAAUGCAGAAGUAAUGUAACUUUUACUUCCCUGUUUGACAGCUCCAUUUUAAUAAAAACAUAGCUGGUAUUUGCCACUUAGUGUUUCUGGAAGAUCCAACCUAGAACUUCUGUGAUUCUGUGAUUAUACACAGCUGAUAUCUACUGCAAGCACUGGCACUCCACAGAAUCAUUCAGCUCAUUUAAAAUUCCUGGAUACAGGUGUGUGGAUAUCUUGAUUUUAACACUAAUUUCAGUACUUUGGGUUUAAGCUCCUGAGUUACGGUUGGAAAGGAAAACAUUUAUGACCACUAUACUCAUUAUAUGAUACGGAUUUUUCUGAAAUAAAGCCAGUUCUAUCACUUCUACUGUAUUGUUCUACUAUUUUAAGGUAGUGAAAAAGAAUAAUAUUGUUCAGGCUUUCUUCUUAAUAAAUUUAAAAAUUAUCCUGGUGGACAUGGAUCCGCCUGUUCUCCUUAUGUUUCCUUUAUUAUUAUUCUGCAGUUUUAAGCCUCUCACUCAUAUGUAUUGCUACAGGCUUCCUUUUCUCCAUAUAUAUAAGUAAAUAUAUUCAUAUAUACAUGUAACAGCUAUUUUCCCUUCUCUACUAACAUACUACUUGGUGAUUUUUUUAACGACAGUAAAUAUCUUUAUUAAUUGUGGCUUUUCUGAACAGUCAAUAAAACAACUUCAUUGGGAGUAUUUAUAUGCUUAAAGUUAAGCACAUAUCUAAACGUCUCCUUGAAUUGUAGUGUACCUGUUUUCAAUGAAAGACCAAAAAAAAACAGAAUAACAAAAUUGGUUUGUCUUAAUCUGGAAAUCUGAAUUAACAUGGAAUAUAGCCAGUUUUUAGCAUAACUUCCUCUCAGUUUGUUCCUUAUUUUCUCUUCUGUUCCUUUUCUGUUUGAUGUUUUGAUUUAUUUUCACCUCUCACUCUGUCAUUUUAAUUCCAUCAUGCAUGUCAUCCAUGUCCUUGUGAGGGCUCUCUCUCAGAUAAUAUGCUGUGUGGCUUUUAUAUGUAUGCACAUAUACACAUAAACACACAGACAUACAUACUUGUUUCUUCACUUAUGUGUAAGGAAUGCUUACACUAUUUUUUCCAGCUGUUUCUGUAAGCUCAAUAUGCUUAUAUGUAAUGAAUAUCCUAUUCAUUAAAAAACAAUCAUAACUGAACAUGAGUACAUUUAAUACAUGUGCAUUAAAAAUAUUUUCCUUUAAAGGUGAGCUGCAAAGGGAAUUGAGGCAGGGAAAUAAAUCUCACCCAAACCUCCUUUUUUUUUUUUAGCACAUGUAAGUUUUGCCUGUAAAAUUCCACCCUCUCCCGCUUCCCUCAUCUCUGUCUUCCUGAUAUUUUGAAGGUCUGUACUACAGCAAAUGCUUUGCCAGUUUAUCUAUUUCCUAUGGACAGAAACUAAAUCUAUUGAAAAUGACUGCACCAACUGAAGUGUGUCCCCCAGAUGCUGAUGAGGGUUUGGGUGUCUGUAGGAGACAUAUCAUACAUUAAUGUA